rnacentral:lncRNA from 1 species
ACUCAAUUCAUUUCUUGACUUAUAUGUGCUGAGGAGGGGGUAGGGCAAAUAAAUAACAGUCUCAGCUUAAAGGAGUUUGCAGUAUUAUUAGGCAAAUCUAAAAGUUAGUAUAAUAUAAUCAAAAGUGCACUAGAUUUGGAAGAAAGGAAAGAGACAUUUAUUAAGUCCUUCCUAUGAGCCAGACACUACACUAAUCAUUUUACAAAUAAUCUUUAUAAAUAAUUGGAGGUAGGUCCAAUUAUUAGCACCAUUUCACAGUUGAAAAAACUGAGGUAAAUAGAGGUUAAGGGACUUGCCCAGGGUCACACAGCUAGUAAGUUUCAGAGGCUGGAUUUGAUCGCAGCAAUUUUUGAUUUGGGGCUCAAUGCUCUAUAAACUGGGCCACCUCACUGCUGUUGAUGCUUCUAAUUCUUGUUUGACUAUUUUCUACACAUGAGAACCUGUAUAAAUCACUUCAUCUGUUUGGCUUCUGUUACCUAAUCAGUACAAUGGGGAUAUGGGAGCUGGUUUGACUAAUUUAUAGCUGAAGAGUCUGAAAUCCUUGGUAAGUUGUGACUUUACUAAAGUCACAAUGAAUUAACCCCAGUCUUAACCAUUUAUCUUCUUCUCAUCUCAGAUGCUGUUGUUGUUUGUCCUUUGUUUUCUAAGAGGACCAAUGACAUCCCAAGGUGAUAUCUUGAUUUGUUGGUGAAUUGGAUUUAAGUGAGGUGGAAUCACACAAAGUCAUCAGCUUCACUCUUUCUUCUGGUCAUCAAAGUCCAGUGGGAAGACAAAAGUCAGAAUGACUGGCGAUGGGAUGUAGCAGAUGACCUUGCCAUAUUCAGUGUCUAAGUUCAGUUACUCAGGGUCCCAGGCAACACUGUCACCUCUUUGUGGUGGCAAAAAACUAGAAACUGAGGGGAAGCCUAUCAAUUGUGGAAUGACUUAACAAGUUGUGACAUAUGAUUGUGAUGGACUACCACUGUCAUAAGAAAUGAUGAGCAGAUGAAAAAACAACAUGGAAAGGCUUACAUGAAGUUAUGAAGAGUGAAAUGAGCAGAACCAAGAUAACAUUCUAUUCAGCAACAGAAAUAUUGUUUGAAGAACGACUUAAGCCUAUCUCUAGAGAAAGAACUGAUAAACAGAAAUAAGCAAGGUAGUUUUAUAUAUCCAUUUUUUUUUUGGUCCAAUGAUGCUUUCUCUAAUGAGGGAAGAAGAGAAAGCUUGAAACUUUAAUGUAACAAAUACAAUAAAAAAAAGGAAUCUCUUAACCA